ACCUUAUUUCAAACAAAAACGUUAAAAAAGGAAACAUUUAAAAGACAUCUUCUAAAUGUUCCUUUCCUGAUGAAUAAAUGAAAAAGACCCUGGGUAUGGCUUAGAGGCAUGCUUACCCAACACUGAGCCAAAAGAAAAAUACUGCCCUGGCAACUAUGAAGCUAGGAAGUCAGAACUAGAGGUUGCUUGGGAAACAACUGUCUGCUAACCUCACCUAUCUCACCUUCUCUAAUAGACUGGGAUCAAAGACGAUGUGGGUUACUACUAUAGUGACCAAGAGACAAACCUAAGGCCAGUCCUUCAUACCAUCAGCUCCCCACUGGCUUUGGGAUCCUCUCCAAUUUCAAGACUGUUGAUUGCUUAUUAAUGCAUCCUAAAUACAGAAAGUACUGACAUAAAAUAUAUUUUUUAAAAAAUGGUUAUUGGUAAGGAAGAGUUGCCAGGGUCUUAUCAUAUAGCUCAGGGCUGGCCUCAAUCUUAAUUUUCCUGUCUCUACAUUCUGAGUGCUGGGAUUAAGGGUCUGUACCACCCUGACUUCCCACAGAUUUCUUUUCUAAAAGAAUUUACAUCCAAACUUACUCUGCCACUGACUAAUUUUACAUUCUUUCUACACUGAAGACCUAAUAUAAGAUUAAAAUGAUUUUUUCUCUGGUUUCUUAUAUGUAGAUUGGAGAUUAAUAUAUUAACACCUAACAUGCUGUGAAUGCCUAAGAGAAAAGCACUGCAGUACUUUU